rnacentral:lncRNA from 1 species
AUGCCAAUUUUGAGGAUAUCAGGAUAGUACUGCUAACCUUAUACAAAAACCAAACUGCUUCCAACUCUUAUCUUCUUUUCAGGGAGGGUAUCUAAUUUAACAGACGAACUCACUGCAGAAAAAGUUAAAUUUGUGCAGGUAGUUAUUGCAGCCUAUUACCGGAAAGCUUUUCUGUGUAUAUUUUUCUUGUCUGUUUGUAUUUAUCCUCUUAUCAGAUAAGUAGAUUGAAGCAAAACAAAUAUCGAAUGCAAGUGUUUGAUUACAUUGCUCAAUUCUUAUACUCAAUUAGAUAAUUGCCAUCGAUUAGUAUUACGGUAAAAGGAAUAGUUGAAUGUUGAAACUCGCAACACAGAAAGUAGCAUUAUUAUCGGGUUUUUUACUCUAAAGUUCCUUCCUAGUAUACUAAAAAUACCAAUGGGAGUACUCUUAUUCUAAACAGGAUGAUGUUUUUUUGUCUAUUUUUGUGAUGGUAUAGAAUAUAAGGUUCUAACAAGAUAACCUGUUUUGUUUCAAGUGAAUUCUGCAUGUUUCUCGGAAGAAGACAAAAAAAGAGAUGAAAAGGAGGUUUGAUUUCCCAACAUAAUCUCUCGUAUCUGAAUGUCUUUCAGUUUCUUCAUGUAAGUUUAAAAUCCUCGUGUAAAUAAAAGUAUUAUUCUGUUCGUUUAAAUUUAUUCAUGAAAAAGUAUAAAUCUUUGACAUGGAGGAACCUAUUUUUAUUUCAACAGGGGAUAUUUCUAUCUAGGAAGUAGGAACGAAUGACCAACUCCCAAUCUCCCAUAGUUCCAUGAAUCAUGUUAUUGCCAGGUGGUCCUUAUUUUUGUGUGAUGAAUAGCAGAUAUGCUGGUGGAGGUUCUUUUUCGUUUGAUUAAUACAAGGUUAUGUUUAAGGUAGCGUAAUUCUUGUUAUCUUCCAUUGAUAUGUGGAUGGAAUUGGCAAUUGCAAGCGCCUUGUUUUUUAUAAUAAUGCAAUUCUUGUUAUAAACCACUGAUGAUUUCUUUCUAUUCAGUAUUAAACAAACCUUCACCUUAUGACAACAAAUCACUCAAGACAGUAAAAACCAUUAAUUUAUCCUCACAUCCAUCUAGCUAUCAAAGCUGCUUCCAUACUCCCUUCCUUGUUCAUUCCUUUCUCUGUAGCUGAUAUUCAUUUCCAUCCUUUCUCAAUACACGACUUGCUUCAGAAACUCUUCUAAACUUGAACUCGAUUUUCUCAAAGCUUUCCAUAUCCUUGUAUUAUAUUCGCAAAUUACAUGCAUCAAAGUAUAUCUAUAAUUUCACUUGUCUAGAGUAAUAGAGUGCUGGGGAUUUUAAACAAUGGCCAUUCGAGC